UACAGAGGUGGCAAGCGUUGUUCGGAAUUACUGGGCGUAAAGGGCGCGUAGGCGGUCCGAUAAGUCCCGUGUGAAAUCCCUCGGCUCAACUGAGGAGUGGCACGGGAAACUGCCGGGCUUGAGUUCGGGAGAGGGAAGCGGAAUUCCGGGUGUAGCGGUGAAAUGCGUAGAUAUCCGGAGGAACACCGGUGGCGAAGGCGGCUUCCUGGACCGACACUGACGCUGAGGCGCGAAAGCUAGGGGAGCAAACAGG
rnacentral:rRNA from 1 species